GUGUCAGCCGCCGCGGUAAUACGUAGGGGGCAAGCGUUGUCCGGAAUUACUGGGCGUAAAGGGUGCGCAGGCGGUUCUUUAAGUCAGAUGUGAAAUACCCGAGCUUAACUUGGGGGGUGCAUCUGAUACUGGAGGACUUGAGUGCAGGAGAGGAAAGUGGAAUUCCUAGUGUAGCGGUGAAAUGCGUAGAUAUUAGGAGGAACACCAGUGGCGAAGGCGACUUUCUGGACUGUAACUGACGCUGAGGCACGAAAGCGUGGGGAGCAAACAGGAUUAGAUACCCUGGUAGUCCACGCUGUAAACGAUGGAUACUAGGUGUAGGGGGCGAUAGCUCUCUGUGCCGCAGCAAACGCAAUAAGUAUCCCGCCUGGGGAGUACGAUCGCAAGGUUGAA
rnacentral:rRNA from 1 species